GAGGGGUGAGGGGGGAUUGAAUCUUGACACGAGUCAUUUACACCUCUGCUAUAAAUGUAACGUAAUCUUAAUGCAGCGAUUGCGAGUCGAAUGUUAAACGAGUACGAAUGCAACGUACACCGCGCGAUGAUGGUUCGUUAAUGACGCGAUCAUCGGGGAAAGAAAAGCGAUAAAAGAAAAAGAAAAGAAAAAGAAGGAAAAGGAAAAAGGAGGAAAGGAGAAAAGGAGAGAGAGAGAGAGAGAGAGAGAGAGAAAAUGGCGCAAAGCCGCGCCGUUUGAACGAGACGUUUCAUUAUCAUUUUAAUCGAGUACGUAACGGGUAACAGUAGUCCGAAGAGACGAGCAAAACAGUUGGAUUUUCAGAAACGAUUACACGACCGAGCAAGGAGAUAUCUAAGAAAAUUACGUGGUCGCGCAACGAGCAAGUUCACCGACUGAAACGACUUGGACGAAUAAGAAGAAGCCAUACUCGUUUCCGAAGGAUGUUUACCUCUGGAAAGCAUCAGCUGAAGACGAAGAUAAGCGAGCGGGAGGGAGCGGUCCGAGAGCAACUCGGAGAUGCACUCGGAACGCAGAACGAGGAGGCUCAAACAGGAGAAUGGUUGUCGGGGUCAAUAAACGCGAGGAUCCUUGCUCGGCUGGCAAGGUCGCCACGAAGGUAAAAAAUCAACCGUGCUCCUUGUCUCUCUCUCUCUCUCUCUCUCCCCCUCCCUCCCUCCCUCCCUCUCUCCUCCCUCCCUCUCCUCCCAUUUUUGCCCAUUCCAAGUUGCCGGACCGACGACGCCUGAAAACUAUCCUUCGGAUGGAGAAAACCAGUCCCCUCCCCUGCCCCUCCCCUCCCCCUCCGGCUGCCCCAGUCCAGUUUGUUCUCCCUUAAGGCCGGUGCACAAGCGGCGCGCGCGCUGUCGGUCGGCGAACGAGCGUAAUUUCAAGGGUGAAACCGGUGUCAAAGCACGAUCCACAUUUAUCGCGGCUUUCUGGUCGCGCGCGACAUAAACGAUCGCGAUAGCGGUGGUUUUUGGCGCGCGUGAGCGGACGAGCAGGCAGCCAACUCGGGGCUCCCGUCGUCGCUUGGCGCCGGUGAAACUGUGCUCCGAUUAGGAAAUAUCGGCGCGUAAUUAGAAGCGGGCAAGUUUAAAUCCGCACACGCGAGCAUUGGAUGCGCCCUGAGUGUCAAUAGAGCUGUCUGCCAAAGAGAAAAUCGACCCGCCUCGCGCACGCCUCUACGGUCAACUAUUCGCGGACAUUCGUGUAUAUAUAUAUACGUGUACCAUGUAUGCCGUGUUCACGAUACCAUCGCGUCAUUGACGAUUUCACUAUCGACGAACGCCUCGAAGGAAUGGGAGAAAUCCGUCUCGGAACCAAGUGGUUCGAACCGAUUCGAAUGUAAUGAGAAAGGAAGAUAAGUCGAUUCCGUUGUUUCGCCUCUAUUCUCGAGCGCGUAGCUCUGGACGAUUUUUCGGGAUAUAAUAUACGUUUCGUAAACAGGUCUAAAUUGUAUCGUUUAUAUUUAGAAGCGGUGCAGGUGGUUCAACGGGGAACACCUGAGAUACGUUACCUUUGAAUAUUCCAAGAUAAAAUAAGCCGUUGUUCCUAAGUCGCCAUAUCGUUUCCUUCUGACGCACGCAACACUAAUAAAACGAGGUGUAAUAAACGGACAUGAAAAUACGAUCGAUUUGCACAGAUGCGAAAUGUUUGAAUUAUAUAUUCGUCAUCGACGAGUCAAUCAAUAACGCUUUGUUCACGUGAUCGCGUGAAAUCAAAGUUCCUCCGCUAUAUAUAUAUAUACUGUAUUCGCAAUUGCGUAGAAGAAGAUAAGAAGUAAGAGAAAAAAGAAAAGGAAAGAAAAGUAAGCGCGAAACUUUACGAACGUCGAUUUCUUUGUUCGAGCUUGGUAAGAGUGACCCCCUUCGAAGGAACAUCGGCCAGUCGUCGUAUUUUCCAGCAUUUCGAUGGUGGAAAUUAGGCCGUGUUGCGUUCAGCACGCGUUCUAACUGUUCGCGGAAAGGUCAAGGGAACGGAGGAGGAGGCUAGCAGCGCGUUCCGUUAAUUUUAGAAACGAUCGAUCCGUAAAUCGUUUCCGUAAAUAUCGGCGAUAUCGUCGUCGAAGGACGAAUAGCUUACUUUCUUUUCAUCGAGAGAGCCUCGCCACUCUCCUCUUCUACGCUUGGUAACGUUCGCGGAUUUCCGUUUCCGCACCAUCGCGUUCAAGGAUUCGCCGAUCGAAGCAUCGCGUCGACACCUGCUUAAAUCUCGCGUCGGGCUUAGUCAUGCGCGCAUUCCCAUCUCUCGUGGCUAUAAUUAUUUUCUUGCGCAUCGAGCGGCCGCCGAUAGCGGUCGACAUAAUAGAGGAGAAAUUCUGCUCGGAACAAUAAUUCGUGCUAAAUAUAGGUAGCGCGUGCGGCGUAUUACGGUCGGCCGAGAAGAGGAUGGAUACGGAGCUGGAUCGAUACGGAGACAGUGAGUACGAUGAAGAAGUGGAAGAGACGAGGAGGAAACGGGUUUUCGAGUUUCUUGCUCGACCCAUCGUGGCCGACGUGGAUGUGGCCGAGAUGAUGAUGACGCCGAGCUUGAGGAUAAUGAUGAUGAUGAUGAUGAUGAUGAUGAUGAUUAUGGCGACGGUGAUGGUUUCCUCGCGCUCCACCACCGCGAAUCCUCGAGGCGUCUAUCGCGAAGCUUGAUACACACGGUCUAGCCAAUUACCAUUCGUGGCCAAAGAUAGAUUAAGGCCUUCGUUAUGUCCGUCUAUAUUUAAACUUCUAUUUUUUGCCUGGUUUUAACCAACCGUGUCAUUUACAUACUCGUAAUAAGUAGAUUUCGAUCGAUGAUAUCGCGAGGAUAAAAUCGGGCUUACGAUUAUUCGCUAGGAUCGCGUGUUGCGCCAAGUAUUAAUAUCGUAAUGCCGAGUCGGAUAAGAAAACGUUUUGAAAAUUGGCACGACGCGACGAUCGUUAAACGAUCGGACGGUGGGGUUAACGACGCACGGGCGAUAAAUCGGGGAACGGUUCGAGAACGGUUUAGAGAAGGUACGAGAGGCGCCUACUGUAACGGUGAAAAUGAAUGGCAGUGAUGACGAGAAGUGGCGAUUGGAACGAGCGUUCGACGGAUGAAGGCAGGAGGACGAAAGAGAAUCGAAAGACACGCGAGAGACCCCUGGGGAAAAGCGGAGACAGACGGAAAAGAAAGGGGGAAAAAGAAAGAGGGAAAGAUGGGCGCAGGGAGGAGGAAAGAAAAAGCGAGCACGACGAUAAAGCGGGUAGCGAGAAGGAAGGAGGUUGUUGUAACGUCGCUUCGGGUCCGGGAAUAGAUGGUAAACUACAUGGCACUGGUCCGGUUGGCGCGUACAGCGAGCAAAACGAGCAGCACGCCAAGAAGGAAAAGGAAAAGGAUGAGGAACUGGCGCCGGCGCUCCGCGUUUCUAAGCGGUCUCGACUCGCUUCUUGAAAAUUAGCCGGACGCACGUGAAAAUUGCCUGGCGGCGCGAGUCGAGCCGUUCGAUUUACGCCGGCGACCCAGCUCGAGCCUCGCCAAUUUCCAGAUCCCGAUUCUCGCGGAUUCUUGCUACAUCUUGUUAAUUCUGAUCUCUCUCGUGGCUGUCAUCGUAUCCGAUGUAUGUAAACCGAUCCAUGCCUGUUUUGUCGGGAUUCUUUUCCGUCGUUUUUUUUUUUUUUUAAUCGUUUCUUUUUAAAUAUCGCCGGCGCGUCUCUACUUCGAUGCUUUAUUCGACCAUCAUCGAUAACUAUUCUACUUAAACUUGUUAAAAUGCGCGGUUUACUUUUCGACGAGAAAUAUCGAAUCUUUUUUACGAUCGAUGAAACUCGAAUUUUUUGAAAUUUUUCUCUCUUUCUUUUUUUUUUUCUUUUUCCUACCUGUCGGAUAACAGAUUCGGUAUUAGCACCGAUUUGCAUCCGCAAAAGUCUUUCGCAAGGUAUUGCAAAAGUCAACGACCAUAACGGUUAGGUUGCGAUGCGACUGGUAAAUAGAAUCGUUUGCAAUUUAAGCGCUCUAAAAUCUGCUGUACGCACGUUUUCGUACAGUUACGCGUUGAAUACUCAUUGCAAUUGUCGAGAAUUGCACUCGAACGUAGUCCAUUUUUUCUCUCGAUUUCUUUCGGCAAAGAACACGACCGAAUGUUAUAAAUAGAACAAUUGCGAUUUUUAUUAUUUUAUACGUAUAUAUAUAUAUCGUGCGUUUUAAAGUUACGAAUAAUCUUCUUAAUAUUUCGUGUCCUUGUUAAACAUCGCGCUUAUUUUAUAUAAUGGCGAAAUUUUUUUCCAAAUUCGUUUUAUCCGGCGAGAAUAAAGAAAAAGAAUAGAUAUCGGCGAAAGAAAGAAGCAAAAGAGACGAAAGAGCGAUUUCCGAAAUACGAAUGUAUCGAGCCGAAAACGUCCUCCAACUUGCUCCUGUCUCAAGAUCACGGCCGGUUACUAUGUUUUAUUUACGCGAUCGUAAAUAUCGGCGUAAUCCUUCGGAAGGUCGUAACGCCGCAAAAUCACAAUUACGUCUGGGUGUUGUACUCUAGUCGGCACGUUCGAUGUCACGCAUCUAGAGUGGCGUCGGUAACCGCUUAAAAUUCUGUCUUCUCUUUUUUCUCUCAAAGGUUGAAGAAUGCGUUGCAUCCUCGCUACAUGAAUUAUUAAUGGAGAUCUCACGCGACGAUCGGCUCUCCGUUCCGUUGUUGGCCGGACAAGCUCGUUUCCAGAGUCGGCGAUAGAACCGAUUUGGAUCGUCUUCGCGAGCUUCUUUCACCGUGAUACAGACCAACCGACCGCACGUUUCUUUCGCGAUUCGUGUGCGUGAUACCAACGUGUUCCCGCGUCCGCAAAGAUAAUUCCACGGAAGGAUCGGUUUUUGCUGUCACUCUUGUCACUUAUUUCUCCGGCCACGGGGAGCCGGCGGAAUGCUCAUGUUCAUGGAAGAUUCGCGGAACAGGCGCCUGAAAAAUCCGUGCUAUUUCUAGUCGACGCGAACAUCCGCCACCGGUUCGCAAAAACCGUUCGGAGAUUCGAGUCUUUCUUUUGCAUCCUUAGAAACGGUUUCUUUCUACUUGUCUACGGAUACCGUAAGCGUAAUUGUGAAAAUCGUUAGAAACAGUUUUUUCAAUUGCAUUCUAAAUGAGAACUGUUAAAAAUAUUUUUCUCUGGUCGCGAUGAAAUAUAUCCAGUCUUUUUCGAACACGUAUGCUCGUUCGUGACGAUUCCAUUGUUCUCCGUUCUCCAGUUCAGGAAAUUUAAUUUCGAAUUCGUACGUUUAAAUUUAGAUUUAAAAUUUCGAGUAAAAGAAUUCAACAAAAAAUUCUAAUUUCCGACUUCGGUGUGCAAGUUGGGGAAUGUUAUAUUAUAAAAUUGAAAUUCAAUUUCGAACGUUCCAUUUCAAUUUGAAAUAAAAAUCCUGCUUUGAA